rnacentral:rRNA from 1 species
CAGCCGCCGCGGUAAUACGUAGGGUCCAAGCGUUAAUCGGAAUUACUGGGCGUAAAGCGUGCGCAGGCGGUUGUGCAAGACCGAUGUGAAAUCCCCGAGCUUAACUUGGGAAUUGCAUUGGUGACUGCACGGCUAGAGUGUGUCAGAGGGGGGUAGAAUUCCACGUGUAGCAGUGAAAUGCGUAGAGAUGUGGAGGAAUACCGAUGGCGAAGGCAGCCCCCUGGGAUAACACUGACGCUCAUGCACGAAAGCGUGGGGAGCAAACAGGAUUAGAUACCCGCGUAGUCCCUGUCUCUUAUAC